rnacentral:rRNA from 1 species
GACGGGGGGGGCAAGUGUUCUUCGGAAUGACUGGGCGUAAAGGGCACGUAGGCGGUGAAUCGGGUUGAAAGUGAAAGUCGCCAAAAAGUGGCGGAAUGCUCUCGAAACCAAUUCACUUGAGUGAGACAGAGGAGAGUGGAAUUUACGGUGUAGCGGUGAAAUGCGUAGAUAUUGGGAGGAACACCGGUGGCGAAGGCGGCUACCUGGACCGGUACUGACGCUGAGGCGCGAAAGCUAGGGUAGCAAACAGG